rnacentral:pre_miRNA from 1 species
GGCAGCAUUACAGGGCAUGUUCUCCCUUGGCAAGUAGCUAUGAAGUUGUUCAUUCGAACCGUACUCUUUGAAUGUGCAACCUGCCAAAGGAGAUUUGCCCAGCAAUGCUCUC